rnacentral:rRNA from 1 species
CCUACGGGAGGCAGCAGUAGGGAAUCUUCCACAAUGGGCGAAAGCCUGAUGGAGCAACGCCGCGUGGGUGAAGAAGGUCUUCGGAUCGUAAAACCCUGUUGUUAGAGAAGAAAGUGCGUGAGAGUAACUGUUCACGUUUCGACGGUAUCUAACCAGAAAGCCACGGCUAACUACGUGCAAGAAGCCGCGGUAAGACGUAGGUGGCCAGCGUUAUCCGGAUUUAUUGGGCGUAAAGGGAACGCAGGCGGUCUUUUAAGUCUGAUGUGAAGGCCUUCGGCUUAACCGGAGUAGUGCAUUGGAAACUGGGAGACUUGAGUGCAGAAGAGGAGAGUGGAACUCCAUGUGUAGCGGUGAAAUGCGUAGAUAUAUGGAAGAACACCAGUGGCGAAAGCGGCUCUCUGGUCUGUAACUGACGCUGAGGUUCGAAAGCGUGGGUAGCAAACAGGAUUAGAUACCCGAGUAGUC